AUUACUUUUAUUCGCAAAAUUUUCAUUAAUUUUACUCCAUUUCAGUUUUGAAAUUGUAGAAUUUGAGGAUUUCUGUUUUCUCAGCCAGAAAAAAAUGGUGGAAUUGGAUGAGAGCAUGUUUGAUAUGCACCUGAAGCUGUGGGCGCUUCGAAUUCCGCGCCAGCAUUGUAAAAUCGCCACUCGAAUAUUCAACGGAUAUAUGAUUAACAGGCCACGCAUAAAGCCUAUCGCAGAAGAUCCUACAAGUGAAAAGAACCGCUACGUAAUUUUAUCUGAAAACAUCCAGAAUCCAGAUUUAUCAGAAGUUCCAGCUCAAAAGCUUGCUGAACUGAAAGGUCUUUGCGAGAUUGAAGUAGUUCCUUAUUCACUGACAUUGGGGUAUUCUUAUUGGAGUGCAGACCAUAUACUAAAACAGAUUCUGCCUCCUGGACUUGAAGUUCCAUCAUCCUUUGAGACAAUAGGUCAUAUCGCUCAUUUGAACAUAACCGAUGAGCUUAUUCCGUACAAGGAUCUCAUUGCAAAAGUCAUCUACGAUAAAAAUUACCCCAGAAUUCAGACAGUUGUGAAUAAAGUUGGAAGCAUCACAAAUGAAUUUCGAGUUCCAAAAUUUGAAGUAUUAGCUGGGAAAGAUGAUAUGGUAACAGAGGUAAAGCAAUAUGGAUCAACUUUCAAGCUUGAUUAUCGCUUGGUUUAUUGGAAUUCAAGACUGGAACAUGAACACCUAAGGCUGGUCUCACAGUUCAAGUCAGGAGAGAUAAUAUGUGACAUGUUUGCUGGUAUUGGUCCAUUUGCUAUUCCAGCAGCACAGAAAGGUUGUAGAGUUUAUGCAAAUGAUUUAAACCCAGAUAGCGUCCAGUAUCUGAAAAUCAAUGCUGAAAUCAACAAGGUCAAUGAUCUAGUCUUUGCAUAUAAUAUGGAUGCAAGGAAAUUUGUAUCUCUACUGAUGGCUGUACCUUCUAAUGAAGGCAAUUUUGAAUCUGAUGUUCAACUGAAAUCAUCUAGGCCAUUUGAUAACCAAGCAAAUGGAGGACUAAUGCCUGGAGAGACAACUGUAUCAGAUGAGAUGAAAGAAAUGCCAGAUAAAAUUUCAAGGAAUACUGUUAGUGUUGAUGGUCAUGAAGGCUCAUCUGUUACGGUAGAUGUGAAUGUAACAGCUGCUAAAAGAUGUUCUGAGAGUUCUCUAGAAGGAAAUGAUACUGUUGAUGAUAGCAGUGCUUCUCUGAAUGGUGCAAGAAAGAGAGGGUCGAACAAGAGGAUGAGAAUUUCUGAGCCAUCGGUUGCAAAUCCAUGGGAGCAUGUAGAUCAUGUUAUAAUGAACCUACCAGCUUCUGCCCUGCAAUUUCUUGAUGCAUUUAGAGGCCUCAUAGAAAGGAGAUAUUGGAAGGGCUCUUUGCCUUGGAUUCACUGCUAUUGUUUCAUGCGCUCAACUGAGACAAAGGAAUAUGUAAUUUCCGAAGCAGAGACUGCCUUGAAUGCUAAAAUACUGGACCCAAUAUUUCACAGGGUUAGAGAUGUUGCUCCAAACAAGGCGAUGUUUUGUUUAAGCUUUAGAUUACCCAAGGAAACUUGUAAAGAUCACGAAGUUGACCAUAGCACUCUUCAUUCCUCUGGAGAAUCUUGAGCAGCCUCUGAAGGUCAUGUUAGAUUCCCGGAUAUCCUCUAGUUGGAAGAAUUGGCUCUGUGUUUUCCUAUAUUGAAAAGACAGUGCAGCAGAGGAGAUGCUCAAACAAUUGACAAAAGGAAUGCAUCUCAGAUGAUCUCUGCUGUCAAUCAGGAAAUGGAGACAGAAGGUAUGGAUAUAAAGCAGUAAGUAUAAGUAAAUGACGGAAAGCAAGAUGUGACACCAUUGAAAGUUGGAUAGCAGUUCACCAUAAUUGACUUUGAUCCUUCUGGAAUUUCCACAUACUACCUUCUUAGGCAGUUAGGCACUGGAAAAAUUUUCAGGUACAUUCGACUAUGCUAUAAGAAGAUAGGUUUCUCAAAUUUUAUAUAUAUGAAUUUAUAAUGCAACAUUUUUGAA